rnacentral:lncRNA from 1 species
GUCAGCGGGUUGCGGAGGAUCGUGCGGGUCGCAAAGGGAAGCCGAGUGCUCCUGCGGCUCCCAGACUGCAACCAGGAUGAAUAUAUUUACAGGUGUAAAUCCAAACCGCUUCCAACUCAAGGCAAGUAACAGCCCACGGUGUUCUGGCAGGAAAACAUCAGCUAAGAAAGGAAACUGGGUCCUAUGGCUUGGACUUUCCAACUCUGACAGACCGGCAGGACAGAAACAACUGGUUCAGGAGCCCUUGCCAGCCUCUAGAGAAAUCCCAGAACACUCAGCCCUGAUGACACAUUAAUACCCUGCACAUAUUGGAGACUGCUGACCACGCAUACUCACCAAGCCACAGACUUGUCUUCCACAAGCACGUUCUUACCUCAGCCACAAAGUGCCCAAGCCACAUGUACUAAAGGUUGAAAUCAGAGACAUGUACAGGGUAUUAAACAGAUACCAAGGGGAACAGUUAACUUGAAUAUAGCUUGAAUAGAAAGUCAAAAUCAGCAACAAGUCUACAAUCCAGUGCUGAUAUCAGAUACAAGCUUCAAGGACAACUUUCUGUGUAUGUUUUUUUUUUUUUUUUUGAGACGUAGUCUCGCCCUGUUGCCCAGGCUGGAGUGCAGUGGUGCAAUCUCGGCUCACCACAACCUCUGCCUCCCAGGUUCAAGUGAUUCUCCUGCCUCAGCCUCCCCAGUAGCUGGGAUUAUAGGCGAAUGCCACCAUGCCUGGCUAAUUUUUGUAUUUUUAGUAGAGACGGGGUUUCAGCAUGUUGGCCAGGCCGGUCUCAAACUCCUGACCUUGUGAUCCACCCGUCUCGGCCUCCCAAAGUGCUGGGAUUAUAGGCGUGAGCCACCACUUCUGGCCACAAAUUUCUUUUUGAAGGCUUAUUCCAGUUUUGUGAGGCUAGCAUGAGGUGUAUGCAUUUGCCAGGGGCAAAUUUAUACUGCUGAAUUAACCCAUGCAACAAAUGCUGCACAUCUGCUCGCAGUCCAUUUAGAGGCAUUUGCGGUAGACAAUGGAGGGGCCAGACUCAUCAUACAUACCUGAUGGCUAACCCACAUGCUUGCAGUCCAUUUAGAGGCAUUUGCAGUGGAUGAUGGAGGGGCCACAUACCUAAUUGCUAAUCCACAUCUGCUGGAAGGUGGACAGUGAGGCCAGGAUGGAACCACCAAUCCACACCGAGUACUUGUGCUCUGGGGGCAUGAUGAACUUGAUCUUCAUGGU